AUUUAGGCUGUAUUUGUCCACAUUUGACUCAAACAUUCCAGCAUUAGUAAAUGCAUCCACUGACGUGUCAUAAACUGGAAUACAUUUCACAAUUUUCAUUAAUUGUUCAUGUAUUUUCAAGUUUUGCAGCUCUGUCUUGAAAUUUAUAUUUCUGCAAAUCACUCUGUGAGGAUACAUUUUCAGUAUCUAUUGGUUCUGGGAUUAGAUUCUGUGUCUGUAUUUUUCUUGUAUUAACACAUACUUGCUUAACUUCAUUUCUAAGCUGGCAAAUAAGAUCAUUUCUUAGUUCAACUCUAUCCUCUAAUUCACAGACUGUUUCUGACUGUUUACAGCAUGUGCUCUCUGUUACAUUGUUACACUGUUCAUUUAAAUCUGAUUUGUCUUCUGUUAACCCAUUCAAAUCUAUUUCUUUAUCUGCUGAUUCUAAAUUUUCUUGACCUGCAUCUCGUUUACAAAUCAAUGCAUUGUAAGUACAGACUAGUUUCAUAACAUUUCUGAUCUUUUGUUUUUUCUUAUUAACAAACAAUUUCUUGUCAAUUUCACUAUUGGCAAUUUCACAUUGUGUGUAUAAAGAUUGCCACAAUACAGCAUCUGAAUAGCUGCUAUUAAAUGCAAACUGCAAUUUACUUUUCUCUGCAAUAUCAUUUAUAAAUUCCACAAUUCAUUUGUUCCAACAAAAUCUAACUUUCCUUAUUCCAACAUGCCAAUAACCUCUUACUUAACAACAUAUACAAGAUUACACAAAGUUCCUAAC